rnacentral:hammerhead_ribozyme from 1 species
AUCCAGCUGAUGAGCCCCAAAUAGGACGAAACGCGCGUCAAACGUGAU